CUCAAAUAGCAUAUUCGUUUAAGUGUGUAUGUCCAUAAUGAAUGACAAAACUCAUCUCCAAGUACAUUAGCCACAAAAUCUAUUUUAUCUCGAUCACAAAUAUUAUCUCCAGUUGAAGAAAGACAGUCAAUUAAAGCACGAAUCUUGAUAAUGAAACCUGUCAUCGACUCAGCAUCAGCUAGUCUUCUCAAGAUUACGAAAUUGAUCCCUAAUUGAUUGUGAAUUGUAAGACUUGCGAGGAGAUAGAUGUGUUUUCAACAAUCCGCAACAGUUUUGUGAUUCAUAACCAGAGAAAACAUGGAAGCGUCUACCGACGCUUGAAUCUACCCUGGCGGGUCUGGCUAAUCUGGACCCAGACCCGCCACCGGGUCCAAAAUAUUUAAUGAGGUUUAAAUUAGUCCCGAACUCAUUUACACCCCUA
rnacentral:lncRNA from 1 species